rnacentral:misc_RNA from 1 species
GGGAGAGUAAUGAUAUAACCGAAUUCCGCAAAGCCAAGCGUACUAAACGGCAAAUAACGGGAAUUUCGCUAACCACCUAAACUGAAAAUGGCGCUUCAAAUCAACUUACCUUAUUCUCUCACCAAAAAAUCCUAUAAUCAUCAUCUUGUCCGCGCACCUCUCCUUCUAUCUCGAACCGGACCCAGAUUCAGAAUCCAAUCCCAAAACCCCACCACCAACACCGAACCUACUAACCANNNNUAAGAAAGCCGCUCCGCCUGGGCUAGGGUUUGGGUCACCAUCGCCUGUGGCUCCAGCCAAGUCAAGUCCAACUAAGGCAGGUCCCAGUGCUGUGAGUAAGAAGAAGAAACAGAGGGG